rnacentral:rRNA from 1 species
GUUGUCUCAAAGAUUAAGCCAUGCAUGUCUAAGUAUAAGCAAUUAUACCGCGAAACUGCGAAUGGCUCAUUAUAUAAGUUAUCGUUUAUUUGAUAGUACCUUACUACUUGGAUAACCGUGGUAAUUCUAGAGCUAAUACAUGCUAAAAAUCCCGACUUCGGAAGGGAUGUAUUUAUUAGAUUAAAAACCAAUGCCCUUCGGGGCUCACUGGUGAUUCAUGAUAACUCCUCGAAUCGCAUGGCCUUGUGCCGGCGAUGGUUCAUUCAAAUUUCUUCCCUAUCAACUUUCGAUGUUUGGGUAUUGGCCAAACAUGGAUAGC